GGGGAAUAUUGCACAAUGGAGGAAACUCUGAUGCAGCAACGCCGCGUGAGUGAUGACGGUCUUCGGAUUGUAAAGCUCUGUCUUCAGGGACGAUAAUGACGGUACCUGAGGAGGAAGCCACGGCUAACUACGUGCCAGCAGCCGCGGUAAUACGUAGGUGGCAAGCGUUGUCCGGAUUUACUGGGCGUAAAGGGUGCGCAGGCGGACAUUUAAGUGAGAUGUGAAAGACCCGGGCUUAACUUGGGCAGUGCAUUUCAAACUGGAUGUCUAGAGUGCAGGAGAGGAAAGCAGAAUUCCUAGUGUAGCGGUGAAAUGCGUAGAGAUUAGGAAGAAUACCAGUGGCGAAGGCGGCUUUCUGGACUGUAACUGACGCUGAGGCAUGAAAGCGUGGGGAGCAAAC
rnacentral:rRNA from 1 species